GUCCACGCCGUAAACGAUGAGUGCUAGACGUUGGGAAGCCUAGCUUUUCAGUGUCGCAGCUAACGCAUUAAGCACUCCGCCUGGGGAGUACGGCCGCAAGGUUGAAACUCAAAGGAAUUGACGGGGGCCCGCACAAGCGGUGGAGCAUGUGGUUCAAUUCGACGCAACGCGAAGAACCUUACCAACCCUUGACAUGCCAGGACGGUUUCCAGAGAUUGACUCCUUCUCGCAAGAGACCUGGACACAGGUGCUGCAUGGCUGUCGU
rnacentral:rRNA from 1 species